rnacentral:rRNA from 1 species
UACGAAGGGUGCAAGCGUUGUUCGCAUUUAUUGGGCGUAAAGGGCGCGUAGGCGGGUCAUUAAGUCAGGUGUGAAAUCUCGGGGCUCAACCCCGAAAUUGCGCCUGAAACUGAUAAUCUAGAAUGUCAAAAGGAGAAAGGGAAUUUCGCAUGUAGGAGUAAAAUCCGUAGAGAUGCGAAGGAACACCAGAGGCGAAGGCGACACGCUGGGCCUGGCCUGACGCUGAGAGGCGAAAGCAUGGGGAGCGAACGGG